GACGAACGCUGGCGGCGUGCUUAACACAUGCAAGUCGAACGGAAAGGCCCUGCUUUUGUGGGGUGCUCGAGUGGCGAACGGGUGAGUAACACGUGAGUAACCUGCCCUUGACUUUGGGAUAACUUCAGGAAACUGGGGCUAAUACCGGAUAGGAGCUCCUGCUGCAUGGUGGGGGUUGGAAAGUUUCGGCGGUUGGGGAUGGACUCGCGGCUUAUCAGCUUGUUGGUGGGGUAGUGGCUUACCAAGGCAUUGACGGGUAGCCGGCCUGAGAGGGUGACCGGCCACAUUGGGACUGAGAUACGGCCCAGACUCCUACGGGAGGCAGCAGUGGGGAAUAUUGCACAAUGGGCGGAAGCCUGAUGCAGCAACGCCGCGUGCGGGAAGACGGCCUUCGGGUUGUAAACCGCUUUCGCCUGUGACGAAGCGUGAGUGACGGUAAUGGGUAAAGAAGCACCGGCUAACUACGUG
rnacentral:rRNA from 1 species